GUGGAUGUAGCUUAGUGGUAUAGCACUUGCCUAGCAUGCGUGAAAUAUUAGGUUCAAUCCCCAACAUUGAAA
rnacentral:tRNA from 1 species